UCUUCGACGUCCGAGUUGUAAUUUGAAGAAGGCGACUUUGUAGCUGGUCCUUGUCUAUGUUCCUUGGAACAGGACGUCAUAGAGGGUGAGAAUCCCGUGUGGCGAGGAUCCCAGUUAUUUGUAAAGUGCUUUCGACGAGUCGAGUUGUUUGGGAAUGCAGCUCUAAGUGGGUGGUAAAUUCCAUCUAAAGCUAAAUAUUGGCGAGAGACCGAUAGCGAACAAGUACAGUGAUGGAAAGAUGAAAAGAACUUUGAAAAGAGAGUGAAAAAGUACGUGAAAUUGUUGAAAGGGAAGGGCAUUUGAUCAGACAUGGCGUUUGCUUCGGCUUUCGCUGGGCCAGCAUCAGUUUUAGCGGUUGGAUAAAUCCUCGGGAAUGUGGCUCUGCUUCGGUAGAGUGUUAUA
rnacentral:rRNA from 1 species